rnacentral:rRNA from 1 species
AUACAGAGGGUGCGAGCGUUAAUCGGAAUUACUGGGCGUAAAGCGCGCGUAGGCGGCUACUUAAGUCAGAUGUGAAAUCCCCGGGCUCAACCUGGGAACUGCAUCUGAUACUGGGUAGCUCGAGUUUAGGAGAGGGAAGUAGAAUUUCAGGUGUAGCGGUGAAAUGCAUAGAGAUCUGAAGGAAUACCAGUGGCGAAGGCGGCUUCCUGGCCUAAAACUGACGCUGAGGUGCGAAAGCGUGGGUAGCAAACGGGAUUAGAAACCCCAGUAGUCC